rnacentral:rRNA from 1 species
CACGUAGGGGGCAAGCGUUGUCCGGAUUUAUUGGGCGUAAAGAGCUCGUAGGUGGUUCGGUAAGUCGGGUGUGAAAACUCUGGGCUCAACCCAGAGACGCCACCCGAUACUGCUGUGACUUGAGUCUGGUAGGGGAGUGUGGAAUUCCCAGUGUAGCGGUGAAAUGCGCAGAUAUUAGGAGGAACACCAGUGGCGAAGGCGGCACUCUGGGCCAGAACUGACACUGAGGAGCGAAAGCGUGGGUAGCGAACAGGAUUAGAAACCCGCGUAGUCC